AACGCGAAGAACCUUACCCGGGUUUGAAUUGCAGUGGUUGUAGUCGGUAGAGAUAUCGGUGAGGGGGCAACCCCGCUGCUGUGAAGGUGCUGCAUGGCUGUCGUCAGCUCGUGCCGUGAGGUGUUGGGUUAAGUCCCGCAACGAGCGCAACCCUUAUCCUUAGUUGCCAGCAAGUAAAGUUGGGCACUCUGGGGAGACUGCCGACACAAGUCGGAGGAAGGUGGGGAUGACGUCAAGUCAGCAUGGCCCUUACGUCCGGGGCUACACACGUGCUACAAUGGCUGGUACAACGGGCAGCGAGACCGCGAGGUGGAGCGAAUCCCUUGAAAGCCAGCCUCAGUUCGGAUUGUAGGCUGCAACUCGCCUACAUGAAGUUGGAAUCACUAGUAACCGCAGAUCAGCUACGCUGUGGUGAAUACGUUCCCGGGCCUUGUA
rnacentral:rRNA from 1 species